rnacentral:tRNA from 1 species
CGGGGCGUGGCGCAGCCUGGUAGCGCACUUGCAUGGGGCGCAAGGGGUCGCCGGUUCAAAUCCGGCCGUCCCGAUCA